UACGGAGGGGGCUAGCGUUGUUCGGAAUUACUGGGCGUAAAGCGCACGUAGGCGGCUUUGUAAGUUAGAGGUGAAAGCCCAGGGCUCAACCCUGGAAUUGCCUUUAAGACUGCAUCGCUUGAACACGGGAGAGGUGAGUGGAAUUCCGAGUGUAGAGGUGAAAUUCGUAGAUAUUCGGAAGAACACCAGUGGCGAAGGCGGCUCACUGGACCGUUGUUGACGCUGAGGUGCGAAAGCGUGGGGAGCAAACAGG
rnacentral:rRNA from 1 species